CGAGCGAGCUUGCCUAGAUGAUUUUAGUGCUUGCACUAAAUGAAACUAGAUACAAGCGAGCGGCGGACGGGUGAGUAACACGUGGGUAACCUGCCCAAGAGACUGGGAUAACACCUGGAAACAGAUGCUAAUACCGGAUAACAACACUAGACGCAUGUCUAGAGUUUGAAAGAUGGUUCUGCUAUCACUCUUGGAUGGACCUGCGGUGCAUUAGCUAGUUGGUAAGGUAACGGCUUACCAAGGCAAUGAUGCAUAGCCGAGUUGAGAGACUGAUCGGCCACAUUGGGACUGAGACACGGCCCAAACUCCUACGGGAGGCAGCAGUAGGGAAUCUUCCACAAUGGACGAAAGUCUGAUGGAGCAACGCCGCGUGAGUGAAGAAGGGUUUCGGCUCGUAAAGCUCUGUUGGUAGUGAAGAAAGAUAGAGGUAGUAACUGGCCUUUAUUUGACGGUAAUUACUUAGAAAGUCACGGCUAACUACGUGCCAGCAGCCGCGGUAAUACGUAGGUGGCAAGCGUUGUCCGGAUUUAUUGGGCGUAAAGCGAGUGCAGGCGGUUCAAUAAGUCUGACGUGAAAGCCUUCGGCUCAACCGGAGAAUUGCAUCAGAAACUGUUGAACUUGAGUGCAGAAGAGGAGAGUGGAACUCCAUGUGUAGCGGUGGAAUGCGUAGAUAUAUGGAAGAACACCAGUGGCGAAGGCGGCUCUCUGGUCUGCAACUGACGCUGAGGCUCGAAAGCAUGGGUAGCGA
rnacentral:rRNA from 1 species